GCAGGGAGAAAAUAUCAUUCAAAAUAAUAUUUUUCUCUUUUAUAUUAUUUUUAUAAAUAAAUUAAAUUUUAUAUUAUUUAUGUAAAUAAAUUUUUUUUUUUAUAUUAUUUAGGAAAAGAGCUGUGGCCUUCGAAACAGAAGUGAGGAAGAUCUUGUCGGCCCAUUGAUCUCCCUUUGAUGAGCAGGUGGACGACGGGACCACGCGAAGACCUUGUCCUCCAACUCCUCUUUGAGGUGGUGGCCCCACUGCUCGUACUCGGAGUCCUCGCCGGGCCCAGCGGGCAGCGACAGUUACAGAUGAGAACGGUCGCC
rnacentral:lncRNA from 1 species